GUGAAUGGCGAUGUGUACUUCUGCAGGUAUCACCGGUUAUUUUAAGAAAGAAGCUCAGUUAAAUUUUGUGUAGAUCUCAACUUCCCAUGUCACCUGUAACACCUGAACGCUACGUAGCUGGCAAAGCAAGCAAUGAAGUCUAGAUAAAAUGGGCGAAAAAGUCAUGAAUAAUGCUAAUGUUAUCCAGUUAUCUACUUGGUGCAUCUUAAUGAUUGAUUCAGCUUUUAAAAGCAAUAUUCAAAAGGGUACACGAAUCGCUAAAAUAUGGUAGAAGUUGGUUAGCACCGUUGCCCCUCAGCAAGAAGGACAAGGGUUCAAGGCCCUUUCUGUGUGGAGUUUGCAUGUUUGCCCCAUGCCUGCAUGGGUUUUCUCCGGGUACUCCGGCUUCCUCCCACAAUCCAAAGACUUGCAACAGUUAGGGCACGGCUGGCAUUCUUCUCCGAUUUUACGAUUAGGGUCAAAUCACCUGAGACAUGAUGUGGACUGUUCCUGCACAAAGCUUAAUCCGUCACCAGUUACAGUUAGGUCAAGACUGGCUGUUCUUACUGGCAUAAGGUCGCAGAUUAAAAAGCCAGGGUUUUUCCUCUUGUCUCGUUUAUUGGAACUGAUUGCAUAAGCUUAAAAGACAACCAGUAUGAUUACAUCUGGUGAGUGUUGUGUCUGUCCUUUCUCUUCUCUUUACUCUAGUUUCAUUUGGAGUAAAGGCAAUUAUUAUCUCAGAAGCGGGAGAAUAGGACUCGUAGCAACUUCUAAAUGAAGUAUCAAUGCUAAUAUAAUCACAGUUCUAUUCUCUUUGAGGGUUUUUUUUCAGUCCCACGAGUUGAAAAUGUUACCCGAACAAAAGGUUUGUGCUUAUGUUCAGGUGUUACAACUCCACCUCAUGAAUGUAUACUGACAAGAGAAUAAACAGCAGAUAUGCUGAAGGAAACAUUUGCAUUUACAGGUGAGUCUGACAGAGAGUUGCCAUAAUGUACACAGUUAACAAUCUGAGCUAACCUGGCUACAGCUAACUUACGUUGCCUAUGGUUCCUAAAUUGGCUAAAUUGGAGCCAAUCAAUACAAAGCGCACAACCAUUCCAAUGUUCAAUUGCUGGAAGCUAAAAACAGCAGAUUUGGAUGUUAGCAUGGUGGUGACUCAACUUUCAUUAUCAGUCACCCUAUCCUCUCUCUCUUUUCUGCUUUGAGUUGUACACCAGGUGUGUCUGUUUGUGAAACAGAUGUUUAUGAUUUUAUAUGGGAUUAGUGUGAGCUAGACACUCAACGAAACAUUUUAGGGUUGGGCAGAAAGCCAAAAGAAUUUGAGCUAAACAGACUAAGCUAACAGGAGCAGAGUUGGGAGUUAGCAUGCUAGUUAUUCAACUUUAUUCAUCUGGAACCAUUUUUCCUCUGACUCUUUUAUAUUUUACCAGGUUAAUCUUUUACUGAAACUAAUGUUUAUGGUUUAAUAUUUGGCCAGUGAUGCCCAUGAGACUCAACAGUAGACUGCAGUGUAAAUGUGGCCAGAAAAGAAUGAGCUAAAACAGGCUAAAAGCCACGCAGCAGAAUUGGGUGUUGUGUUGUCAUGAUCUGUACAGUGCCACACCAUAAAGAAAGCACACGAAUGCUUUAAAAAAAAUCUAUUUCUUUUAAUCACUGAUAAUAAAUGAACAUGCUGUGUUAGCAAGGAUAUGGGAGUGAACGAGCUCAGCUCCUGGUAUUGAUCAGGACCGUAUAACCCAGCUAAUAAAACUGAGUUACUUAACCAAUGUUUCUUUUAACACUAUAUUUAUUUCAGGAAUGAUGUCCUUCCCCCAAACUAAGUAACUCAAAUGUAUUUUUUAUAGUUUCUUAAUAAAAAAUAGCUUAAGGCUA